CAUGUAAAACUUUUCAAAUUUCUCGAUCAGUCUGAUGUAAUUGAGGCGGAGUUAACUCCGUUUGUUCUUCCUACUCCGUGCGCGCUCCCGAUGAGGGGAUGACUAUUUCGCAGGUAGAACUGCCUGUGCGCCACACCUAUGCGGAUCAGCUCCACCUACUUCCUCCUAGAAGUCGUUGAAGUUUAACUCACUGAGCUUCAAAUAAUGGCUGCUGCUCUAACGCUCCUCCUCAUCAGGAUUCUGCUGAUCUUCAACUCCUGCCUGGUUGUUUUUGCAGGUAGGUAAAAACUUUGAUAAUUACUU